ensembl:snoRNA
AUCCUUUUGUAGUUCAUAAGCAUGAAGAUUGGGUUUUCAUGCGCAUGUGUGAGAUGCGCCUCCCAAAAUCUUGUUACGACAUCAGCACAUCACCCAUCUGACA